ACUGCGCCCGAGAGGCAGCGCUCAGACAGCGGGGAGGAGGCGGCCGCGGAGCCCCGGGAGAUGGAGGGUGAAGGCCUGCUUUCAAAGUAUCCCACGUCGUUCAGCAAAGAUUCGUCAUUUAGAAUUCAGACCUGCCAAGACCAAGGAUGCUUUGUCUCAGCUCGGAUAUCUUCAUUUCUCCUUCUUACAGUUUCCUUGUUUCCAAGGAAAAACACAAGAUCUUGACAACUGCAAUCACCUGGUAACCAAUCAUGAAUCUGGUAUGGACCACUUUCACCCUGUACCCUGUCAGGCAGUUUCCAUCUUCUCACAAUCUUCACAAGAAUCCUACAGAAACAAGACGUAUCCCCCGAUUUACUGAUGAUGAUCCUUCAGCCCAGAGAUGCACUCUCCAUUGGCUGAACCCAACUGGAAGUCGGAGGGUAAAGGGCCCAUGACUCAGUCCGUUCAGGCUGACCCGCCUGGGGCUCAGAGCAUAACAGACAAGGGUGGGGAAGAAAAAAGAAUGGACUUGGAGAAGCAAACGGGAAAUAUUCAGGCACUUCUGAUCUCAGUUUGGCCAAUCGGCUCCCCUCUCUCUGACUGUAAACACAGAGAUACAGAAACUGUCAUUAGAAAUGAGUAGUGUUAAUGAUCCAUGACAGAAAGCUCGUGAAUUUCUACUGCUGAGGAGGCUUGAGCUUUUCUGUUUUCAUUCCUUCUACACAUCGGGAGCGGAGCUCCCCAGUGCCUUUCUGAUACAUCGUUACUUCUGCUUCACCUAAUCAAAGGCACUUACUGCUGCUCAGAACCUGAGGCCUCCAACUGAACAAUGCCCAGGUUUUCUCUCCAUCACCCCCUGUUCUCUAGUGUGAGUAGUUAGAUUACUGCUUUUAUGUCUGUCUUCCCAACUACAGUCCACAAAACGGCUCAUAUUGAACAGUAAUACAAAUAAAGAGAAAAAGGAGAGAAGACAAGAACAAAAAGUAGUGAGUUUAGAAACUUGGAAAGUAGAAACUUCUUUGGUAUGUUCCUGUUGAAAACCACUAGUCUCAUCUUCCACUUUCUCACAUUGCCGUUUCAGAGAAAAACUUAAUUAUACUUAAUUAUAGGGUUGUAAUACUUAUAGGGUUGGUUAUUCUGGUUAGCCAAAUUUACUGGUUAUCUGUUUAGAGUCUUUGAAUUUUAAUUCUAGCUGACACAUUUGUUAAAACAUUAUUAGCUUACCUUUCUUCCUUAAUGAGUACUGGAUCUUCCCAGAGAAAAGGUUCCCAGUCAUUUACCUGGAAUUUUUUAUACAUAUUUGCAGCCAUUCUUUGAGCUCCCUAAAGAGCAUAAUUAGAGACAUAACAUUCACUCAGAUUUUAUGCCCUUCUUUGUAAUAAGUCAAUGAGCCAGUCAUUUAUUCCACAAAUAUUUGUUGAUACCUACUGUGUGCCUGUCUCAGCAGUUCUCCAAGCAGGGGCUACAAAAAUAAAAAGAUUGUCUUUUAAUGAGGAGCAACUUCGAGUCUUAGCUCUUGGUACUCCCUCUGUCUAGUAAUAUCCAUUUUUAUACUUAGUAUUUUAAUAAAUAACUCUUCCUCAAAUUAUUUUAAAACACAUAGUAACAGAAAAAAUUAUUUAUUUAUUCUACUUUCUCUUAAUUACACCUGUGGGGAGCUUGGCCGGGCAGACUCUGGGUUUCCAGCCAAGGUCUUUCUGUCCACCUGGGGGCAGCAGACCCUCACACAGAAAAGUACCUCGAAGGAAGCAAUUGGCUUUCUGAGCUCCUGGCUUUCAAACACAAGUCUUCCAAAUUAUGGACCCAUGAAUAUUCUAAAGACUUAUACUCGAAGGACGCUUCCAAAAUCAAAUAAAUUUGGGUUGAACCAAGUUAAAUAGGUUUUUAACCCUGCAGGACUUCUCACAAUGUUUAAUACACUUUUUUUUUUCUUUUCUUUCUUUCUUCGACAGAGUCUCGCUGUAUUGCCAGACUGGAGUGCAGUAGCGUGAUCUCGGCUCACUGCAACCUCCGCCUCCCAGGUUCAACUGAUUCUCCUGCCUCAGCCUCCUGAGUAGCUGGGACUACAGGCGCCCACCACCACGCCUAGCUAAUUUUUUUUUAUUUUUAGUAGAGAUGGGGUUUCACCAUGCUGGCCAAGCUGGUCUCGAAUUCCUGACCUCAGGUGAUCCACCCGCAUUAGCCUCCCAAAGUGCUGACAUUACAGGUGUGAGCCACUGCGCCCGGCCUAAUAUAGUUUUGUCGUACAAAACACAAUGGCAUACUUGCUCUGUGACUGGCUCUGUGCAAAGUACAUCACCCACAGUGGCUUAUUUAAACUUGGCAAUAGUCCUAUGAGAUAGGCACUAAUUGUGUUCCCCAUUUUACAAAUGAGGAAACAGAGGCACGGAGCUUACAACUGGUGGCUGAGUUUCCGGUUGGGGCCAUCUAGUUACAGAACUUGCAUGUUUAAUCAUGACACCAUAAUGCUUUGCAAUGGGAGAUUCCAAGAGGGGGAAUUUGACAUUCAGUGUUUCCCAAAUUUAUUUGGCUUUGGAAACCUUUUAUUCCUUCUAAUCAACAUAGAGGACAAGUAUGUAAUGGGAUACUCUGAUAAAUGCUUCAAUAAAGCAAUGGCUUUAUGCCGCCCCACUUUAAAAGAUAACUAAAAAUAUAAGUCCGCAGGCCCAUCACAUAAUUGAACAGGUAACGACUGAAUUUUGAUUUGAUGGAAAGACUCUUAUCAUAUUAAUCUAAGUUCUCAAAGUGAAUGCCACUAAACCAAGACUAUUCAGUGUAUUUGAAGUAGGUACAAUACCAGUCAGAAUUGGGACUUCUCAGGAAGAAAAAAGGGUAUAUGGAAGAUAGGUAAGAAUAGAAAGCCACAGGUCUAGCAGGGAAGCUAAAUAUGGUGUGGAAUGUGUUGGGGAGAUGGGAAAAAUGCUCACCUCUUCAUGGAAGUUCGAAAAGAAGACUGAGAUUCUAAAUAAUGCUGGAGUAUUGCAGCUGGAAAAAGCAUGAUACCAAUGGCCAACACAAGGCCUUUCUAGAAUAAAUCUAAAACAAUUAAGAGAUAAUAUGAUGGCAUUGGGAGAUAUACCUAAUGCUAGAUGACGAGUUAGUGGGUGCAGUGCACCAGCAUGGCACAUGUAUACAUAUGUAACUAACAUGCACAUUGUGCACAUGUACCCUAAAACUUAAAGCAUAAUAAUAAAAAAAAGAAAAAAAAAGAGAUAAUAUGCCAGGGGGUUGAUGCCAGGUAAUACUGAUAGUUACCUUAAACAAUGUUUUCUAAACUUCAGUUUUUUACACACCAAAUUCAUGAUUUUUUUCUAUCAAGAUACGACUACUAUUAUUUAUCUAGCGUUUUUUAAAUUGUCUUAUAUCUUUGCUUAAAUUUAUUUUUUUAAACCUUAAUAUCUGAGAAUUCAUCAUUUUGAAAGAAUAAUUAUAUUGUUCUAAUAUAUAAAUUUUAAAGUUAAUAUCUUUAUUCCAUCUAAAGUGGUAUGUGUACUAUUCUUUGUAAAUGAUUUUCUAAAGGAUUAAAAACUUGCCAGUGUUGGAAAAAAAGGAAACAGGAAAAUUAAGACUGAGUUAAAGAAGGUGAAAACAAAAUUGAAGAAAAAGACUAAAGGUUAGACAUGAAAUAUAUCUGUCUCUAAUUUGAGGUGCAAUGUCAAAUUUUUUUGUAGAUUGUUCUAAAAAUAUCAGUUGUUCUUUUGCUUGUAUUUUAAUUCAAUGAUUAAAUAAACAGAUGACCUAGUUUCG
rnacentral:lncRNA from 1 species